rnacentral:rRNA from 1 species
CUUUGAUCAUGGCUCAGGAUGAACGCUAGCUACAGGCUUAACACAUGCAAGUCGAGGGGAAACGACAUCUAAAGCUUGCUUUUGAUGGGCGUCGACCGGCGCACGGGUGAGUAACGCGUAUCCAACCUGCCCAUCACUUGGGGAUAACCUUGCGAAAGUAAGACUAAUACCCAAUGAUAUCUCAAGAAGACAUCUGAAUGAGAUUAAAGAUUUAUCGGUGAUGGAUGGGGAUGCGUCUGAUUAGCUUGUUGGCGGGGUAACGGCCCACCAAGGCUACGAUCAGUAGGGGUUCUGAGAGGAAGGUCCCCCACAUUGGAACUGAGACACGGUCCAAACUCCUACGGGAGGCAGCAGUGAGGAAUAUUGGUCAAUGGGCGAGAGCCUGAACCAGCCAAGUAGCGUGCAGGAUGACGGCCCUAUGGGUUGUAAACUGCUUUUAUAAGGGAAUAAAGUGAGCCUCGUGAGGCUUUUUGCAUGUACCUUAUGAAUAAGGACCGGCUAAUUCCGUGCCAGCAGCCGCGGUAAUACGGAAGGUCCGGGCGUUAUCCGGAUUUAUUGGGUUUAAAGGGAGCGUAGGCCGGAGAUUAAGCGUGUUGUGAAAUGUAGAUGCUCAACAUCUGCACUGCAGCGCGAACUGGUUUCCUUGAGUACGCACAAAGUGGGCGGAAUUCGUGGUGUAGCGGUGAAAUGCUUAGAUAUCACGAAGAACUCCGAUUGCGAAGGCAGCUCACUGGAGCGCAACUGACGCUGAAGCUCGAAAGUGCGGGUAUCGAACAGGAUUAGAUACCCUGGUAGUCCGCACGGUAAACGAUGGAUGCCCGCUGUUGGUAUGAAUAGGUCAGCGGCCAAGCGAAAGCAUUAAGCAUCCCACCUGGGGAGUACGCCGGCAACGGUGCAACUCAAAGGAAUGGACGG